GGAUUGGGAGAAAUCAAAAUAGAACUUUUUUGGUAAAAACUCAACUCACCGUGUUUGGAGGAAGAAGAAUGCUGAGUUGCAUUCCAAGAACACCAUAUCUUCUAUGAAGCAUGGUGGUGGAAACUUCAUGCAUUGGGGCUGUUUGUCUGCAAAUGGGACAGGAUGACUGAUCUGUGUUAAGGGAAGAAUGAAUGUGGCCAUUUAUUGUAAAAAUUUGAU